rnacentral:misc_RNA from 1 species
CCUGAAGUUUCGCAAGGCUGGGCCUCGCCCAAAGAGUCUGAUAAAGCUGCAAAUUCCCAGGGUUGGGGCCUGCCAAAUUCCAGAGCCAGCCCAGAAGUUUCACAAGGCUGGGGCUCAGCCAAAGAGUCUGUAAAAGCAGCAAGUUCCCAGGGUUGGGGCUUACCAGAUUCAGAAGCCAGCAAUGGGAGUGAUAGGCAACAGCAAUGGGGACAACAAAGUGGAGAAUUUAAGAAAAAAAGAGCUGAAGGAUCAAGAGGUUGGGGUUCAAAAAGUGGAGACUGGAAAGGCAAGAACCGCCCUGCCAAGUCACCCGGAAAUGUCCAUGAUGAUUCUAGUAUGAGUGGGAUGUUUACAGCAACCAGACAGAGGUUGGAUGUGUUUACUUCUCAAGAGCAGGAUAUUCUCUCUGAAAUUGAGCCAUUAAUGCGGUCUAUCAGAAGAAUAAUACAUCUAUCUGGGUACAAUGAUGGGGAUCCACUGUCUGCUGCUGACCAGUCAUAUGUACUUGAUAAUGUCUUCAACUAUCAUCCAGAUAAAGUGGCAAAGAUGGGUGCCGGCAUUGAUCAUGUCACAGUUAGCAAGCACAGCAGUUUCCAGGAAAGCAGGUGCUUCUAUGUCGUUUCAACUGAUGGUAGCAAACAGGAUUUUUCCUACCGUAAAUGCCUAGAGAACUUCAUCAAGGGGAAGUAUCCUGACUUGGCUGAGGAAUUCAUAGAUAAAUAUUUCACUAAACCUCGUGCCAGAAGCAACCGCCAGCAGCAAAACUCUGUUUCAGAGAGGACUGGGGAUGAAAACCAGCAACAAAACCCUGAAUCAGGGAGAACUCUUGAUGACAAACAGCAGCAAAACCCUGCAUCAGAGAGAACUCUGGAUGACAACCAGCCGCAAAACCCCAUUGUGGAGGGAAAUGCAGAAUGAUAAUUGGUCGUAAGGUCAUUAGUGUGCCAACAUUUUCUGAGAUUUUUUUUCAGAUGCAGACAUUGGUAUCAUCUGCUAUUUUGAUUUGUACAGAUAAAGCAGAUGUUUCCUGUUCAUAUCUCAUGUGAAUUAUACUUUGAUCACUCCUUGCGAACUGCCAUUUUUUCUGCAAAGGUGCAGUUCUUAAUGUUCUUGUUAGACAGCUAGUGAUCUAACAGUAGACCUGUUAAUUGAAGUUGCCUGUCCAUAGCAAUAUAGUGAAAU